rnacentral:rRNA from 1 species
CCUACGGGGCGCAGCAGUAGGGAAUCUUCGGCAAUGGACGAAAGUCUGACCGAGCAACGCCGCGUGAGUGAAGAAGGUUUUCGGAUCGUAAAACUCUGUUGUUAGAGAAGAACGUUAAGUAGAGUGGAAAGUUACUUAAGUGACGGUAUCUAACCAGAAAGGGACGGCUAACUACGUGCCAGCAGCCGCGGUAAUACGUAGGGGGCGAGCGUUGUCCGGAAUCACUGGGCGUAAAGGGCGCGUAGGCGGUUUAAUAAGUCAGUGGUGAAAACUGAGGGCUCAACCCUCAGCCUGCCACUGAUACU